rnacentral:misc_RNA from 1 species
AUUUACGACAAUGCAACUUGCUAGAACAGUCAGGUAUCACGAGAAAAAGUCAAGGGAAGUAAAAUGGUGUAUGACAUGACAAUUAUAUGUAGCACACAGUCAGCCACAAAACAAAAGUAAAUGCCACCAUCCUCAGAGGUAUCCAGGUUCCACCCGAAAAGCCUCAAAUAUAGGCUCAUCUUUGGAGAAGUCAGUACUUGCCAAAAGGGCCCUAGGCUGACUGUUCCAACAUGAUUUUAAGAUUCUCACCAACAAUAUUUUAGUAAAUGGUUUUGUUCUUUUAGUUACAUUUACUCAAGAUAAUAUUAUGUCAACAAAGAAAUA